GAUGAAGAACGUAGCGAAAUGUGAUAAGUAAUGUGAAUUGCAGAAUUCAGUGAAUCAUCGAAUCUUUGAACGCACAUUGCGCCCGCCAGUAUUCUGGCGGGCAUGCCUGUUCGAGCGUCAUUACAACCCUCAGGCCCCCGGGCCUGGCGUUGGGGAUCGGCGGAAGCCCCCUGCGGGCACAACGCCGUCCCCCAAAUACAGUGGCGGUCCCGCCGCAGCUUCCAUUGCGUAGUAGCUAACACCUCGCAACUGGAGAGCGGCGCGGCCACGCCGUAAAACACCCAACUUCUGAAUGUUGACCUCGAAUCAGGUAGGAAUACCCGCUGAACUUAAGCAUAUCAAUAAGCGGAGGA
rnacentral:misc_RNA from 1 species